rnacentral:rRNA from 1 species
AUUGAACGCUGGCGGAAUGCUUUACACAUGCAAGUCGAACGGCAGCACGGGGCAACCUGGUGGCGAGUGGCGAACGGGUGAGUAAUACAUCGGAACGUGCCCAGUCGUGGGGGAUAACGUAGCGAAAGUUACGCUAAUACCGCAUACGAUCUAUGGAUGAAAGCGGGGGAUCGCAAGACCUCGCGCGAUUGGAGCGGCCGAUGUCAGAUUAGGUAGUUGGUGGGGUAAAGGCCUACCAAGCCGACGAUCUGUAGCUGGUCUGAGAGGACGACCAGCCACACUGGGACUGAGACACGGCCCAGACUCCUACGGGAGGCAAGCAGGUGGGGAAUUUUGGACAAUGGGCGCAAGCCUAGAUCCAGCCAUUCCGCGUGCAGGAUGAAGGCCUCGGUUGUAAACUGCUUU